UACGUAGGGUGCGAGCGUUAAUCGGAAUUACUGGGCGUAAAGUGUGCGCAGGCGGCUUCGCAAGUCGAGUGUGAAAUCCCCGGGCUUAACUUGGGAACGGCGCUCGAAACUACGGAGCUAGAGUAUGGCAGAGGGAGGUGGAAUUCCACGUGUAGCGGUGAAAUGCGUAGAGAUGUGGAGGAACACCAAUGGCGAAGGCAGCCUCCUGGGCCAAUACUGACGCUCAUGCACGAAAGCGUGGGGAGCAAACAGG
rnacentral:rRNA from 1 species